rnacentral:rRNA from 1 species
UACGAGGGGGGCGAGCGUUGUUCGGAAUUAUUGGGCGGAAAGGGUGCGUAGGCGGUUCGGUAAGUUUCGUGUGAAAUCUUCGGGCUCAACUCGAAGCCUGCACGAGAUACUGCCGGGCUUGAGUGUGGGAGAGGUGAGUGGAAUUUCCGGUGUAGCGGUGAAAUGCGUAGAUAUCAAGUGGAACACCAGUGGCGAAGGCGAGUCUCUGGACAUUUCCUGACGCUGAGGCACGAAAGCCAGGGGAGCAAACGGG